GAGGCUCAAAGAGAGCUGGGCAUCAUGUCCCAGAAGGUCAAAGAGGUGGAGGAGAGAGAAAAAGCAAGAGAUGACUGAAUCCAAGCCACAGAGACCCACCUUGAGACCCUUACACAGCAGGUCCAGAGCAUGCACAGAGCGAUGGCUUCAAUGGAGACUCGGCACAGACGCCGGAAUAUCAGGAUAAGAGGCAUCCCAGAAGAGGUCAGUGGAGACGCAUUGUUACACUAUAC